rnacentral:rRNA from 1 species
GACGAACGCGGGCGGCGUGCCUAAUACAUGCAAGUCGCGCGGACAGAAGGGGGCUUGCCCCCGGAAUUUAGCGGCGGACGGGGGAGUAACACGUGGGCAACCUACCCUGUGGAACGGGAUAACAUCGAGAAAUCGGUGCUAAAACCGGAUAAUCAUUUGAAGUCCAGGCUUCGAAUGUAAAAGAUGGCUCCGGCUAUCACUACGGGAUGGGCCCGCGGCGCAUUAGUUAGUUGGUAAGGUACUGGCUGACCAAGGCAACGAUGCGUAGCCGACCUGAGAGGGUGAUCGGCCACACUGGGACUGAGACACGGCCCAGGCUCCUACGGAGGCAGCAGUAGGGAAUCUUCCACAAUGGACGAAAGGCUGACGGAGCAACGCCGCGUGAGUGAUGAAGGUUUUCGGAUCGUAAAGCUCUGUUGUUAGGGAAGAACAAGUGCCGUUUGAAUAAGGCGGCACCUUGACGGUACCUAACCAGAAAGCCACGGCUAACUACGUGCCAGCCGCCGCCGUAAUAC